GANUAGCCUGGUACUCGCGAAUGCUCUAGAUUAGACGUUUGAUCAUGGCUCAGACUGAACGCUGGCGGCAGGCCUAACACAUGCAAGUCGAACGGUAACAGGAAGCAGCUUGCUGCUUUGCUGACGAGUGGCGGACGGGUGAGUAAUGUCUGGGAAACUGCCUGAUGGAGGGGGAUAACUACUGGAAACGGUAGCUAAUACCGCAUAACGUCGCAAGACCAAAGAGGGGGACCUUCGGGCCUCUUGCCAUCGGAUGUGCCCAGAUGGGAUUAGCUAGUAGGUGGGGUAACGGCUCACCUAGGCGACGAUCCCUAGCUGGUCUGAGAGGAUGACCAGCCACACUGGAACUGAGACACGGUCCAGACUCCUACGGGAGGCAGCAGUGGGGAAUAUUGCACAAUGGGCGCAAGCCUGAUGCCUGCCGGUGUUUAGCUUCGGGUUGU
rnacentral:rRNA from 1 species